AUGAGCAGAUCCGGAGGCACCAACGGUCCUGGGGAGUGGCCGUUUCUAGUGGGCGUCCCGGCGGCGAAGGCCAUGAGGAAGAUCCUCCACGACAGGCCGGACGUCACGGUGGAGGUUAUCCCGGACGGCACCCCGGUGCCCGGAGAGUACAACCCCGACCGUGUCCGCGUCUUCUAUGACUCGCAAGAGCCCGACGCGCCCGUCGCCAAGAUCCCCGUCAUCGGCUAG
rnacentral:rRNA from 1 species